GACGUAGGAGGCGAGCGUUGUCCGGAUUCAUUGGGCGUAAAGAGCUCGUAGGCGGUCUGUCGCGUCGGUCGUGAAAACUUGGGGCUUAACCCUGAGCUUGCGGUCGAUACGGGCAUGACUGGAGUUCGGUAGGGGAGACUGGAAUUCCUGGUGUAGCGGUGAAAUGCGCAGAUAUCAGGAGGAACACCGGUGGCGAAGGCGGGUCUCUGGACCGAUACUGACGCUGAGGAGCGAAAGCGUGGGGAGCGAACAGG
rnacentral:rRNA from 1 species